UACAGAGGUCCCAAGCGUUGUUCGGAUUUACUGGGCGUAAAGGGUGCGUAGGUGGUGAGGUAAGUCUGAUGUGAAAUCUCCGAGCUUAACUCGGAAAUGGCAUUGGAAACUACCUUGCUAGAGGGUUGGAGGGGGGACUGGAAUACUUGGUGUAGCAGUGAAAUGCGUAGAUAUCAAGUGGAACACCAGUGGCGAAGGCGAGUCCCUGGACAACUCCUGACACUGAGGCACGAAAGCUAGGGGAGCGAACAGG
rnacentral:rRNA from 1 species